UUCCGUGAUCGUCCUCUCUAUGUCUCAGAGUCUGGCCUGCAUAGCGGGGCUCUGGGGGCGGAGCUUGAUUUGCUACGUAGGAAGUCUCACUGUAUCUGAGUCUGCUGUUUGAGUCUGAUUACUCAAGUAAUCGAUGGAAUAUUCGGUAGAAUACUAGAUUACUAAAAUAUUCAAUAGCUGCAGACCUCAAAAAAACAUAAUCUUAUUUUCAGAGAAUCCACCAAACUGUGCUGCAGAUAAGAUUGUGUCACUGUGCGCAGGUGUUGUCUGCAUAGAUUCAGCUGUAAUAAUGAAGCUUUUAUCACAUCGUUCACAAAUGGUAUAAGAGUUUUCUCGUCAUCCAGCUCAUCAUCUUUUUGUGGACAGAUUCAAUCUAUAUGAAGAUAAAAGGGCACAACACAGCUUACCACAGCAAAAGAUAAAGAUGCUGACAGCUCAUUUACACAAUUAGACGCAACACAAGAACAAACUGCAAUUAACUGCAUUAAAAGUUUUGUAUUACUGACAUUUUUGCACCUGAAUAUUCAACAUGUUGUUUGAAUAUGAACUUUGGAUAAGAAGGAGAAAGGUUUGCACUAUUCAAUCCAUCUUUUUAUGAAAAUUCUCUCUCACUGUGCGGAUUUUUUCCCAUUUGUUCUGAUUUUUAACAAACAAAUCAAUCAAUCAGGAGACGUCUGAAUAGAAACAGAGGUAGGGGUCAAAAAUGUUUUGUUCAGGGUAAUAAUUACUUUGCUCAAGCACCAUAACGGUCCACAAAGAAAACAAAAAUCUGUCUCAGGCGUCACCUCGACUUAAAUCCUUCUUCUUAUUUGAAUCUGCAGAUUUCACCUACACUCAAGGGUAAAAAAUUGCGACCUCAAACAACUCUUGCGACAAAGAUGAUUGAGUAAUUAAAAGAAGAUUAAUCACCAUACCUGCUCUUUAAUCAUGAAUUCACUGUCAGUAUGAUGUAUGAGUAGUGUAAUGGGAUUAGGUAGGUUGCUAUAGAGAGUUUCAAUAAACCCACACAUUAAGAUAUACUGUGCUAUAAAAGUUAGAGAAACGCAGGGCAAAAAGUACAAGAAGAAAUUAAAGGAAGGAGGAAACGCAGAGGGCUCUAAACACUGCAGACCUGUGCUGAGUGAAACUGACCUAAAGAGUACCAUUAAGAUCUCCUUCAGUGUGAAAACCGAGCAAACCUCAGAUUUCAAUUCAAGAGGCUCUCAUGAGGUUCGAGAAGGUGAGAUUCAAUAGAGGGCAUUUUAUUUUGACUGUAAGAAAAGACUCAGCGUGCUGCUGUCAAUCAAUCCUGAGCUAAAUUAACCUCUUCAGAAUUUUCCCAUUAACAUGUUGCAUGAAUGCCCUGAUCAGAACAGAUGUAAUAAUGACACGGUGCACAACAGCCAAACGACUGAGGCAAGAACAAAGAGAGUCACAUUUUACCGCUCGGCUGUGCUUUCAAGCUCUCACAGCUACAUUUACGAAACAAGCGGAGACACUGAUCCAGAAAUGUAACCUGCUCAUGCCAGAGUAUGACAGCAUUUUCCAUGUUAGAUACACUAUGAUCUCUGCAUGCUCGUACUUUUUAUCUUUAAUCUAGAAAGACACAGAAGACAAAGAGAAGUGAUAACGCAACACUAUGAAGUAAAACAGACUGUGAAUCAGGGGUGUGCCCAGAAGGGUGGCAAGAGGUGGCACUGCCCCUCUGCAGAAUCUGGCUGGCCAAUUCAUAUGCCACCCGAGCAUCCUGACAAAUAAUUGGCUGUUGUCAGAGAUGAAAUUUAUAGUAAAAUUAACUAUUUGGAUUGUUUUGCAACAGGCUACAAUUAACCUACAUAUGACAGUUCACAAUAUGUUCCCUUAAAGCUCCUGUGAGACUUUUGUAGCCUGUGAUAAAUCAAACUUAAAUAAUUAAUCAUGCUUUUAUAUGACCAUCAAACAUGAACUAGACCAUCAGGGAAAAGUUUCAGUACUUUUUCAUUGCUUUUUUUAUGCGAGUUAGUUCUGUCGCGGGAUAGGUGUAAAAUGUACAGCGCCAAAAUAAACUUUGUUUACAGUGUCCACAGCAAAGACAGUCAUAGACAGCAAGAUAGAUACUUUUAGGCACUGCUUUGUUGUGUCUAAAGGGGGCGCUAAACACCAUUCAAAGCCAAAGUUCCUCACAGUAGCUUUAAGUAGGCUUCUAUGAAUAGUAACGGUAGACAAACAUCUUUGAGUGGAGUCAUUAAAGAAUUACCCUUAGGAUUUGUUUGGUACAUUUGUUUCUGCACAUGUUGUGAUACUUUUUAAAGUUGGAAAUAAUACACAAGAGUACAUAAUGGUCAGGAUAUUAUAAAUGUGACCAAUAAAAGCAGAUGUGAUUGGUAGAGACACACAGAGUAGAUUAAUGUUGUUUACUUCUUUCUUUGAGUUCACACAUUGUUCCAUGACUGCAUGAAUUAAUACCCCAUUUGGGCCACCCCCGUCAAAUGAGUCUUGAGACACCCCUGCUGUGUUAUUAUUUAAGUAUGUAAGCUAAAAUAAGCCUGACGGAUGAAUUUAAGAUCAUUCAGCUAAAAUCUGUAAUUACUAGUACAAUAACUUGAACAUCCCCAAACUGGUGCCAGACAGACUCUCAUUAGAAUACAAGUGUUUGGCAAGUUCUUUUCAGCGUUGGCUCUAUCUCUCUCUAUUUGUCUCUUCCUGAAUAAUGAAACUUAUCAUGGGAGUUCAGAUCUAGACUUAACCAAUUUUUCAAGCCACAAAGCCUGAUAUUUUUUAGUCAAUGUGAAGCUGCUCUACAUACCAGCCACUGUAAAAUAAAGAAAUAAAUGAAACUGUUAACGUCUUUGUUGAUGUGAAUAUCCAACUUCACUUAUGUCUUAUGCAUUUCAUAGCAAAAACUCAGACACAAAAUUCAAUCAAUCAAUCAAUCAAUAAAUAAAAAGUAUCAACAGGAAAAUAAGGUGGUAUUAUGAAAGGCACGGAUGUCUCCUUUCAUUGCAAGGACAAAUGAUGCAAAACUCAGGAUGCAGUUUGGGAGAAGUUUACUUGUAACUUACCCA
rnacentral:lncRNA from 1 species